GAUGAACGCUGGCGGCGUGCCUAAUACAUGCAAGUCGAGCGAACAGACGAGGAGCUUGCUCCUCUGACGUUAGCGGCGGACGGGUGAGUAACACGUGGAUAACCUACCUAUAAGACUGGGAUAACUUCGGGAAACCGGAGCUAAUACCGGAUAAUAUAUUGAACCGCAUGGUUCAAUAGUGAAAGACGGUUUUGCUGUCACUUAUAGAUGGAUCCGCGCCGCAUUAGCUAGUUGGUAAGGUAAAGGCUUACCAAGGCAACGAUGCGUAGCCGACCUGAGAGGGUGAUCGCCCACACUGGAACUGAGACACGGUCCAGACUCCUACGGGAGGCAGCAGUAGGGAAUCUUCCGCAAUGGGCGAAAGCCUGACGGAGCAACGCCGCGUGAGUGAUGAAGGUCUUCGGAUCGUAAAACUCUGUUAUUAGGGAAGAACAAAUGUGUAAGUAACUAUGCACGUCUUGACGGUACCUAAUCAGAAAGCCACGGCUAACUACGUG
rnacentral:rRNA from 1 species